GAUGAACGCUGGCGGCGUGCCUAAUACAUGCAAGUCGAGCGAACAGACGAGGAGCUUGCUCCUCUGACGUUAGCGGCGGACGGGUGAGUAACACGUGGAUAACCUACCUAUAAGACUGGGAUAACUUCGGGAAACCGGAGCUAAUACCGGAUAAUAUAUUGAACCGCAUGGUUCAAUAGUGAAAGACGGUUUUGCUGUCACUUAUAGAUGGAUCCGCGCCGCAUUAGCUAGUUGGUAAGGUAACGGCUUACCAAGGCAACGAUGCGUAGCCGAACUGAGAGGGUGAUCGGCCACACUGGAACUGAGACACGCGCCAGACUCCUACGGGAGGCAGCAGUAGGGAAUCUUCCGCAAUGGGCGAAAGCCUGACGGAGCAACGCCGCGUGAGUGAUGAAGGUCUUCGGAUCGUAAAACUCUGUUAUUAGGGAAGAACAAAUGUGUAAGUAACUAUGCACGUCUUGACGGUACCUAAUCAGAAAGCCACGGCUAACUACGUG
rnacentral:rRNA from 1 species